UCCGCCAUAUUGAGCGUUACACUUUCUCCCAUUCAAAACAAUACGAGUGACAUGUCUUGUGUUAUUUUAUAGUCUUUGCUGGUUACCAGUUUCUCUGGCUAUUUGAGCGAAGUAAACAAAAGUAAAUAAUAAAAUUAGAAGAUUUAUAUUAUAAUCGGUCAUAACGCGAUCGCUACAUCUCUGCCGUCUGUUAACUUUUGCACCAGGAACUGACACAUUUCAACAGAGUUUCGUUAUUAGCCCCACAGUGGAAAACGAAACCAUAUCCAUACCUGAUCGGCACGGGAUGGAACGGUUAAACAACGAGAACGAACCGACAGUGGAAAACUGACUAAUGAUACCAACAUUAGGAACGUUUAAUGUAAUUGACAUAUUGCGCAAGAUUUAGAGAAUUCACGAAUCUGCUGCUGCCGAUCAGUUAAAGCCAAAACAAAAGUAACUCACCACGUUGUUCCUGCACUGCACACUUUUUUUUAAAACAUAUUUUCAAAUUGAGAAAACUGUUUUUGGUGGUAACUAAAAAAGCGAACACGGAAGUGUACCGUUAUAACCCGCGAUGGAGAUAAACUUGCUUUCUUCCGCGAAACACAAGAUAACUUAAGCAAAAAGUUAGAGAAUGAAGUGACCUGCGGGUUUGUAAAACUACGAAGCAGCACAUCAAUGCUACUACAGUGACAAUCAACACAGAUCCAGCAGCAGCAGAGAUCAACACUAUCUGAGAGACUGAGUCUGGAGGAGCUGAAGGAGAGGAAAAGAGAGACGGUCAUUAAUGGCGGGGUCGAGAGCCGUGGGAACGGAGUGAGGCUGGUGGGGCGACUGCAAAUCAGCAUCACCUGCAUAAUCCCAAGUCCCACUGAGAAGCUCCAGAAUUAUAACAGUGAGGGACGACCAGGCCUGGGACAUUUUUUUUGUUUAUGUUUGCACGGCAGUCGUCUGUGAGGGGCUGCCACUUUAUUUUGAUUUAGAUUGUUCGUUUAUUUCGUCAUUAAAGUUAUGUUGAUUAUUCGCAGGGUCCUGCCUCCUCCUUCCCUGACCUAAAACUGUGCUACAUUGGUGCUGAAACCCAGGAGGACGGAGGAACGUGCUGUUAAAAAGCCCUCACUGCUGCACUGUUAAAUAAAGGCCUUCUGAAGCGAAGCGAUGCAUUUGUCUUCAUACUCGUUGGUCCCGCUCAAUGCCAUUAUAAAGUUCGGAUGUGUCAGGAUAUUUAUUAAUAUAACUCCGAUUGUGUUCAUCAGAAAGAAGAAAGUCAUAUACACCUAGGAUGGCUUGAGGUGUGCUGCUAUCUUCCAUAAUGGGAAGGAACAGGGGACUUGCUGACAGGCGUUCGUAGCAGGUGGAGCUGUCGCCGUCCACCAGGGGGCGGAGGAUUCAGAGGGCCAUCCACUGAGGAGUAUCCAGCACCACCGCCACCCAGCUGGUGGGGGACCGAAAGGCAGUGCGAUCAGGGAACUGGACUGGGCAUUACCGAGAGCUGGGUGAAUGGAGCAAGGCCGGUGACAGGAGUUAACGUUACCUGUGUGCUACACCGGUCUCGAGUCCCACGGAGGAGUUUGGGAUUUAUAAAAGGUUGAGUGAUGACAGUGAAAGACAAGAGAAAACCAGGCCUGAGGCAUUUACGUUGAGUUUUGUUCAUGUUUGUCAAGCAUAAACAAGCAAUCAAAAUGAAAGUGAAGUGGCAGUCAUCUAUAAGGGGCUGCGGCUUUACUUCCAUUUUGAUUGCUUGUUUGUUUAUUUUGUCAUUAAAGGAGGGAUAUCACACACAGUUUCUGCCAAUCUUAUGUUAAUCUUGAGUACAUAUAGAGUAAUAUUGCAUCCUUCAUAUCUCCGAAAAGUCUUUAGUUUUAUCAUAUUUAUUAAAGAUAGAUACGCUGUACCGAGUCUUUCCGAAAAAAGCUGAGCUCCUGGAGGCGUGUCUGCCGCCAGUGCCGUGGGUGGAGCUAAUUACCGAUAUUUUUUUUUCUGGUACUCGCCGAUACGAUGAAUAUACAUUUAUUUUUAUUUUAUUUAUUUAUUUAUUUUUGGGGGGGGGGGGGGGGGGGGGGUGAUGUGGCAGUUUUCUGAGCACAACACACUGAGACUAAUGAAUGUAGGACAGCUUCUUUAUUAUUACUCCAAUGAAAAAAGUUAUAAUUUUUAUGUGUUUGUCACAAACUUAAAGCACAAAUUUCACAGUGUCUAAUAACCUUCAAAGGGCAUAAUUACCAAAGUCAUAAUAAAAAACAAAAACAAAGUCUUUUAGCCUGCCUUUUAGCCUCUUUAGCCUGCAUCUUUUGUUGUUUUAUUAACUUUAAUGACAGACAAGUAUUUAAUUAGGCUACUGUCCCUUUAAGACUGAAUCCAUGGAUGUAAUAUACUGACACAUAUCCUGUUUUCACCCACCUGUUUAUGUCCACUUAAGCUAAAGCCAUAACGACUGUAUUUAUGUGAGAUACUCCACACAUUUGACUAUUCAGGUGCAAGGACUAUUCAGAGAGAACUGGGAUUGCGCGCAAGAAAGAGAGAGCGCUUUUGGUCUGUGUCAUUCAGCGUGAUUCUGCCUAUCCCGCCUUCACUAAUCGAUAACGAAUUGUGCUAAAGAUGUUCUUCACAGUAUUUGUUUCGUACCUCCUCUUGAUAUUAAUGCAGAACAAAGCAUGCAGUUCGCAAUGUGUGUGUUGUCAUCAUUAAUUUUGAAGUAUUUCCACACAUCUGAGGCUGACAUUGUUUCUGCUGCUGCCGCCAUUGUCUCUGUGCACGGAAAGUUCUGUCAGUUACGUCCUGUGAGGUAUCGGUCUUUGGUAUCGGGGGUAUUUUUACAAGUAUGAGUACAAGGACAUGAGCUUGGUAUCGGUAUCGGUGCACCCCUACUCCAGACACAUUGUCACAUCUGCAAUCUUGAAAUGGUCAAGAUUGCAGAUGAGAUCCAAUGAGUUUUCUAAGAUGCCACAACAUUGUGCAGUCUCUGGUUGAAAGAAAAAAAAAACUAAAAUCCUAAAGAAAUGGGAAAACCUUUAACAGGUACCCAGCCAGCACAGCCAUGUGGGGCCCAGAUGGGUUUGACCUGGGUUGUCUAAAUGGGGCCCAGCCAGUUUUGUCAGCAGUUUCCAUGGAGGCCCCACAUGGUUUAACCCAGAUGAAAUGAACACUACUCAGUGUGCACACUACAGGCUGUAAAUGUAACACAAAAACAUGCUGAGUUAAUGAGAUAAUUAAGUGAUUAAUUGAGUGAUGACUGAGCAUCAUUGAAGAUAGCUGAUGGUAACAAGCAGAAUCACCGAAGGACAGAGGAACAACAAGAAUAGGGAAAAAACAAAACAUAUACAAAAGAAAAUAUAACUUUCUUCAGCCACAGCCUUAGAUGAAAUCAACUGAAGAUCUGAUUAAACAACUCCACAAACAGCAUUACCAGCUUCACUUAUUACUAACCAGACUGACUUUAAUUCUGUCACACGUCUACAGAAGAUCUUAUUGAGAAUUAACUUCUUUUAUCUUCAGUUGAUUUUAUCUAAGGCUGUGGCUGGAAGUCAAUUGUAGCUCUUCUGUGAUUCUGCUUGUUAUCAUUAGGCUUGUUCGAGAGGUGUCGGCGCUGCGCAGACCAAUCAGCGUAUCACAUCAAAGAACCGCGAGAGCGACUGGAGAGCAAAUGACUCCUUAAGCUUUUGAAGUUUGGCAGUACUUUGAUGUCAUACGCUGAUCAGUCUGUGCAGCGCCGAUGCAUCUCGAACAAGCCUAAUGAUAACAAGCAGAAUCACAGAAGAGCUACAAUCUGGAGUGUUCAUUUCAUCGGGGCUAGCCCAUGUGGGGCCUACAUGGAAACUGCUGACAAAACUGGUUGGGACCCAGUUAAACAACUCAGGUGACACCCAUCUGGGCCCCACAUGGCUGUGCUGGCUGGGUGAGUAUGUGCUGGUUUGUGUGUUUUUUUUUUUUUUUUUUUGUAUGUAUAACUCCGCAUUACAGGUUUUUAAACUAUGGCAACUUUUUAAUGUCAUGUUAGCUAACACCUUUGUCUUUUUGUAUUGUGUUAAUGAUAAACUAAGUCCUAUGAAAAUCUACAGAUAUUCAAUCAUAUGUGUAACUAUGGUUGCAGAUAUAGUCAACCAACAAACUGGGUUCUGCCUCCCUCAUUUGCAUUUCCCUGUCCUCAGGUGGUGUUUGCGUGUUCUGUGUCUGUUUGCAGGGUGGAAUCAAGCGACAGAUUCUGUGGGUUACCUGUGAUAAGCCAACUGAUAAAGUUUGUGUAGUCACUUGAGGCUUUUCCAACACCAGUUUUUGUGUAUUCCUCAGUUAUUUAUUCUUUUGUUCUUUUUCUCUUUCUUUUCCUGUUUCAAAGUAGUUUGCUUAAUUCAUGAAUGUAUUACCUUAAUAAAAUAAAUAUCUACUUCUGGGUUAAUUUAA